rnacentral:misc_RNA from 1 species
GGAAGGAUCAUUAACACAUACGUCCAUUUGAAGGUUAGGCGUGCCAUCGCUCUUGGAGGUUUACACCUCUAAUACUUGUCGGCCGGCCGCCUAAUCUUUCAAACCCCUUAGCAAACUAGGUUGAAGUCCAUAUUCUUAUUUAAUCAAACCUUGAUUCAAAUGGAAUAGGAGUGAAAACUUAAAAGUUGAUUUAUCACGCUCAAUAUCUGUUCCCUCUCUCGAGGGCUUCCGAUAUUCGACUGAUGUUUUAACAAACACAAAAUAAUAUAUAUACAAACCAAGACAACUUGUAACAGUGGAUACCUUGGUUCCCAGGUCGAUGAAGAGCGCAGCGAACUGCGAUAAGUCAUGUGAAUUGCAGAAUUCCGUGAAUCAUCGAACUCUUGAACGCAAAUUGCACUUAGGUGUUGAGCCUAAGUGUGCCUGCUCGAGUGUCGGCAAUAAAUCCUCAACGCAUACUCUGUGUUGAAAGUGAGAGUUCAAUUUUUUUGGUUGAUCUCUUUAAAAGGAUGGACGCUGAUAUCGUAAUCGAGCACACUGGUGAAAUAUUACACAGUAGUGUUGAUCAGAUUGCAAUAAUUAAUCAGAAUAAAUUAAGGUCUUUAUUGAUCACAAUUCUAUUCUCGAUUAGCCGAUCUCAUUGAGCAUUUAUUGUUCCAGUGUGUCUUCGAGAUAUUAGGAGAUAAACAGUCUUCUCGUCCGAGUGCAGCAAUUGCACGACGACAAAUUUCUCAAAAUCUCGACCUCGAAUUAGGCAAGAUCACCCGGUGGACUUAAGCAUAUUAUUAACCGGAGGAAAAGAAACUAACAAGGAUGCCCUUAGUAACGGCGAGUGAAGCGGGCAGAGCUCAAAUUUAAAAUCUGGGAUCCUUAUGGGUCCCCGAAUUGUAGUUUUUGGAUCGUUAGUCACGGAAAUGUUAGCGUGGGAGUAAGUUCUUUGGAACAAGGCGUCAGAGAGGGUGAGAACCCCGUAUGCGUCCCCGCUAGCAAAUCAACAGGUGACUGGCUUUUCACGAGUCGGGUUGUUUGGGAUUGCAGCCCUAAAUAGGUGGUAGAUCUCAUCUAAAGCUAAAUAUUCCUGGGAGACCGAUAGCGAAGAAGUAGUGUGAACGAAAGGUGAAAAGAACUUUGAAAAGAAGGUGAAAAGUACUUGAAGCUGUUCCAAGGGAACCGUAGCUUAGCAGUGACUGCAUGCUGGCAAUUCAGCGCACUGCGUGCUCGCGUGUCGGAUGCCUGGAGGUGUACGCCCCAGAGUGCUGAGCGCUGGGUACGUUGUGUGUGUACUUUGCUAGUGUGCGAGUCAACAUCAGUUCGGUCGUGCCGGAGAAAGGCGGGGGGAAGGUAGGUCGGCCUCUCGGGGUCGUCUGUUAUAGCCCUCUGUUGCAUACGGCGCGCUGGACUGAGGAAGCAAAACGCAUGCCUCGGCGAGGUAGUUGGUGGACCCGUGGGCUGUGAGUGCGUACGUCUGCUUGCAGGGUGCGUGCUCGAUGGCUCCGGCGAAGCUAACCCAUCGGUGCGUUAGGGAUGUUGACGAAAUGCUAUUCUAUGACCCGUCUUGAAACACGGACCAAGGAGUCUAACAUGUAUGCGAGUAUUUGGGUGGAAAACCCGAGUGCGCAAUGAAAGUGAGCGAUGCGAGUUCGUAAGGAUGCAGCAUCGGCCGACUGUUCUUAGGAGCGGAUCGUGCCGGAGCACACAUGAUGGGACCCGAAAGAUGGUGAACUUUGCGUGCGCAGGGUGAAGCCAGAGGAAACUCUGGUGGAGGCUCGUAGAGAUACUGACGUGCAAAUCGUUCUUCUGACGUGCGUAAAGGGGCGAAAGACUAAUCGAACCAUCUAGUAGCUGGUUUACAC